AACUGUCGUAUCGAUCCUUCACACUAAAAUAUCGUGUGUGAUCUGUGCGCUCGCUCCAUGAUCCAGCUCUAGAUUCUCAACACAACGACAACAAUGGCUGCCCCUGUGCGAUUCUGCUGGAGGUACACUGCGCUGCUCUCUGUAUCGGUGAGCACGGCGUUCGCUUCGGCAUUCGUGGGAUCUCCGCCAGGCUACGAGCGCUCGUCGCGCGAGAGCGAAACGGGCCGCAGUUUGAACGAAACGGCCAGUAGCUCAUCAGAGACUUUGAACUGCCGAGACCGAGUUGGUGAACAGCCAACCUAUCAACCGACGUACAAAGAUAUGCUGUUCGCCCUUCUGAUCAACAGAUAAGGAAUGGAACUGGAGAGGCGACCUUCAA